AAGUCGUAACAAGGUUUCCGUAGGUGAACCUGCGGAAGGAUCAUUAAAAAAAUCUUUAAUAUGGAGAACCGCAAGGUUCUCUAACUAUUUUGUGAAAUGUGUAAUAGUACUGUGUGUGGUUUGUGCGUAUAUGUGCUGGUCUGUUUAAGGGUGUUAAAGCUCUUUUACGCGACCACACAAAUACAUUGCAUAACUCUCUCACUGUACUAUUUAUUUUAAUACAUGUUAUAUAUUGAUGAAGUAUGUAAAUAUAGUAUUAAAGGUGGUGUAAUAACCCUUUUAACAUGAUAUAAUAUAUAUACAACUUUCAACAGUGGAUCUCUCGGCUCUU
rnacentral:misc_RNA from 1 species